rnacentral:tRNA from 1 species
UAGCAGGUGGCGAAAUGGUAAACGCGCUAGUUAAAAGCCUUAGUUUGACAUCUUGCCCAUAAGGGACGCAGAAUUGAGGGUUAUCGGGAGCUAGUACCGUAAGGUUUGUAGGUUCAAGUCCUACUCUGCUAC